AACUAACGCUGGCGGCGUGCCUAACACAUGCAAGUCGUACGAGAAAGCCGGCUUCGGCUGGUGAGUAAAGUGGCGCACGGGGUGAGUAACGCGUGGAUAAUCUGCCCUUAAGUGUGGAAUAACGUACCGAAAGGUGCGCUAAUACCGCAUAAUGCCUGGCAACACAAGUUGUCCGGCCAAAGAAGGCCUCUGUUUACAAGCUUUCGCUUCAGGAUGAGUCCGCGUACCAUUAGCUUGUUGGUGGGGUAAUGGCCUACCAAGGCUGCGAUGGUUAGCUGGUCUGAGAGGAUGAUCAGCCACACUGGAACUGAGACACGGUCCAGACUCCUACGGGAGGCAGCAGUGAGGAAUAUUGCGCAAUGGGGCAACCCUGACGCAGCAACGCCGCGUGAGUGAGGAAGUUUUCGGACUGUAAAGCUCUGUCGAGCGGGAAGAAGUGUACCAUGGCUAAUAUCCAUGAUAUUUGACGGUACCGCUAGAGG
rnacentral:rRNA from 1 species